rnacentral:rRNA from 1 species
GGAUGAACGCUGGCGGCGUGCUUAACACAUGCAAGUCGAACGGAAAGGCCCAAGCUUGCUUGGGUACUCGAGUGGCGAACGGGUGAGUAACACGUGGGUGAUCUGCCCUGCACUUCGGGAUAAGCCUGGGAAACUGGGUCUAAUACUGGAUAGGACCACUUCUUGGAUGUUGUGGUGGAAAGUUUUUUCGGUGUGGGAUGGGCUCGCGGCCUAUCAGCUUGUUGGUGGGGUAAUGGCCUACCAAGGCGUCGACGGGUAGCCGGCCUGAGAGGGUGUACGGCCACAUUGGGACUGAGAUACGGCCCAGACUCCUACGGGAGGCAGCAGUGGGGAAUAUUGCACAAUGGGCGCAAGCCUGAUGCAGCGACGCCGCGUGGGGGAUGACGGCCUUCGGGUUGUAAACUCCUUUCGCUAGGGACGAAGCGUUUUGUGACGGUACCUGGAGAAGAAGCACCGGCUAACUACGUG